AUUGAACGCUGGCGGCAGGCUUAACACAUGCAAGUCGAGCGGGGGAGGUUGCUUCGGUAACUGACCUAGCGGCGGACGGGUGAGUAAUACUUAGGAAUCUGCCUAUUAAUGGGGGACAACAUCUCGAAAGGGAUGCUAAUACCGCAUACGCCCUACGGGGGAAAGCAGGGGAUCACUUGUGACCUUGCGUUAAUAGAUGAGCCUAAGUCGGAUUAGCUAGUUGGUGGGGUAAAGGCCUACCAAGGCGACGAUCUGUAGCGGGUCUGAGAGGAUGAUCCGCCACACUGGGACUGAGACACGGCCCAGACUCCUACGGGAGGCAGCAGUGGGGAAUAUUGGACAAUGGGGGGAACCCUGAUCCAGCCAUGCCGCGUGUGUGAAGAAGGCCUUAUGGUUGUAAAGCACUUUAAGCGAGGAGGAGGCUCUUUUGGUUAAUACCCAAGAUGAGUGGACGUUACUCGCAGAAUAAGCACCGGCUAACUCUGUGCCAGCAGCCGCGGUAAUACAGAGGGUGCGAGCGUUAAUCGGAUUUACUGGGCGUAAAGCGUGCGUAGGCGGCUUUUUAAGUCGGAUGUGAAAUCCCCGAGCUUAACUUGGGAAUUGCAUUCGAUACUGGGAAGCUAGAGUAUGGGAGAGGAUGGUAGAAUUCCAGGUGUAGCGGUGAAAUGCGUAGAGAUCUGGAGGAAUACC
rnacentral:rRNA from 1 species